GGGAUUGUUUUUGGAAUGUUAUUUAAGUUGAAGUUUUUAUAGGGAUUUGUUUUUUCUUAAAAUUUGAUUUUAAAGUAUUUUUGUAUUAGUUUUUUUUAUCUAAGGGCGUGCCAGCAGUUGCGGUUAUACGAUUAAAUAUAAAAAUUUUAUGUUAAAGAUGGUUUUUUUUCUUUUAUUUUUAAAUUAAAGGUGAAAUUUUGAUUUAUUCUUUUUUUUUAGUUGUCUUUUUAAGUUUAUUUUAAAAGAGGAUUAGAUACCCUUUUAUUAUUUUUUUAGGUAUUAUUGGAUGUUCUUGAAACCUAAGGAUUCUGGCGGUUUCUUUUCUUUUCAGAGGGGUUUGCUUUUUAAUCGAUAGUCCUCGUUUAUUUUUUCUCUUUCUUUUAGCUUAUAUAUCUCCGUUUGAAGAUGAAUAUUAGUUUUUCUUUCUUUUUAAAUUAUUAUUUAAUUCAGGUCAAGGUUUAGUUUAUGAAUAAGAUGAAGUUAGCCAUAUAUUUUUACUUUUUUCUUAAUGAAUCUUUUAGGAUUUGUUGGUAAAGUUUUAGUAGAUUUUAAGCUUGAAUUAGUUAAAAGGUAUGUACAUAUUGCCCGUCACUCUUUUGUAAGAUAAGUCGUAACAAAGUAGUUGUAUUGGAAAAUGCAUCUUGUUUU
rnacentral:ncRNA from 1 species